AGAGUUUGAUCCUUGUUUCAGGAAUGAACGCUUAGCGGGCAGGCUUUACCCCAUGCAAGUUGAGGGGCAGCAUGUCCAGCAAUGGAUGAUGGCGACCGGCGGAAGGGUGCGUAACGCGUGAGCAACAUGCCCUAUACAGGGAGAUACACCAGGGAAACUUGGUCUAAUAUCCCAUAGCAUUCAUUGAAGGCAUCUUUAAUGAAUUAAAGCUUCGGUGGUAUAGGAUUGGCUCGCGUGACAUUAGCCAGAUGGUGAGGUAACGGCUCACCAUAGCAAUGAUGUCUAGGGGUUUUGAGAGGAAGGCCCCCCACACUGGGACUGAGACACGGCCCAGACUCCUACGGGAGGCAGCAGUGAGGAAUAUUGGACAAUGGAUGGAAAUCUGAUCCAGCCAUGCCGCGUGCAGGAAGACGGCCUUAUGGGUUGUAAACUGCUUUUAUACGGGAGCAAUAAGGGUUACGAGUAAUCCGAUGAGAGUACUGUAUGAAUAAGGAUCGGCUAACUCCGUGCCAGCAGCCGCGGUAAUACGGAGGAUCCGAGCGUUAUCCGGAAUUAUUGGGUUUAAAGGGUGCGUAGGCGGCCAUUUAAGUCAGCGGUGAAAUUUUGCAGCUUAACUGUAACAGUGCCGUUGAUACUGUUUGGCUAGGAUUUGGUUGUAGUGUGCGGAAUGUGUGGUGUAGCGGUGAAAUGCUUAGAUAUCACACAGAACACCGAUUGCGAAGGCAGCACACUAAGUCAUUAUUGACGCUGAGGCACGAAAGUGUGGGGAUCAAACAGGAUUAGAUACCCUGGUAGUCCACACUGUAAACGAUGAUAACUCGCUGUCGGCGAUACACAGUCGGUGGCCAAGCGAAAGC
rnacentral:rRNA from 1 species